rnacentral:rRNA from 1 species
AAUGCUCGGAGUGGCGGACGGGUGAGUAACGCGUGGAAAUCUACCUGGUAGUGGGGGAUAGCUUCUGGAAACGGAAGGUAAAACCGCAUAAGCCCUGAGGGGGAAAUAUUUAUAGCUAUCAGAUGAGUCUGCGUCCGAUUAGGUAGUUGGUGAGGUAAGGGCUCACCAAGCCGAUGAUCGGUAGCUGGUCUGAGAGGAUGAUCAGCCACAUUGGGACUGAGGCACGGCCCAAACUCCUACGGGAGGCAGCAGUGGGGAAUAUUGGACAAUGGGGGGAACCCUGAUCCAGCCAUGCCGCGUGAAUGAGAAGGCCUUAGGGUUGUAAAGUUCUUUUAUAAGGGAAGAUGAUGACGGUACCUUAUGAAUAAGCACCGGCAAACUUCGUGCCAGCAGCCGCGGUAAUACGAAGGGUGCAAGCGUUGUUCGGAUUUACUGGGCGUAAAGCGCACGCAGGCGGUUAUAUAAGUCAGCGGUGAAAUUCCGGAGCUCAACUCCGGCAUUGCCAUUGAUACUGUAUAGCUAGAGUGUAUGAGAGGAUGAUGGAAUAUCCAGUGUAGAGGUGAAAUUCGUAGAUAUUGGAUAGAACACCAGUGGCGAAGGCGAUCAUCUGGCGUACAACUGACGCUAAUGUGCGAAAGCGUGGGUAGCAAACAGGAUUAGAUACCCUGGUAGUCCACGCUGUAAACGAUGAGUGCUAGAUAUACGGUCUGUAAAGGACUUUGUGUCGGAGCUAACGCGUUAAGCACUCCGCCUGGGGAGUACGGUCGCAAGAUUAAAACUCAAAGGAAUUGACGGGGGCCCGCACAAGCGGUGGAGCAUGUGGUUUAAUUCGACGCAACGCGAAGAACCUUACCAGCUUUUGACAUGGACAUUGGGG